rnacentral:rRNA from 1 species
GAUGAACGCUGGCGGCGUGCUUAACACAUGCAAGUCGAACGGUGAACACGGAGCUUGCUCUGUGGGAUCAGUGGCGAACGGGUGAGUAACACGUGAGCAACCUGCGCCUGACUGUGGGAUAAGCGCUGGAAACGGCGUCUAAUAAUGGAUAUGUGACGUGACCGCAUGGUCUGCGUUUGGAAAGAUUUUUCGGUUGGGGAUGGGCUCGCGGCCUAGCAGCUUGUUGGUGAGGUAAUGGCUCACCACGGCGUCGACGGGUAGCCGGCCUGAGGGGGUGACCGGCCACACUGGGACUGAGACACCGCCCAGACUCCUACGGGAGGCAGCAGUGGGGAAUAUUGCACAAUGGGCGCAAGCCUGAUGCAGCAACGCCGCGUGAGGGAUGACGGCCUUCGGGUUGUAAACCUCUUUUAGCAGGGAAGAAGCGAAAGUGACGGUACCUGCAGAAAAAGCGCCGGCUAACUACGUG